rnacentral:tRNA from 1 species
GCCCAGGUAGCUCAGUCGGUAGAGCAGGGGACUGAAAAUCCCCGUGUCGGCAGUUCAACUCUGUCCCUGGGCACCA